rnacentral:rRNA from 1 species
CAGCCGCCACGGUAAUACGAACCGUGCGAACGUUAUUCGGAAUCACUGGGCUUAAAGCGCGUGUAGGCGGGCCGCCACGUCGGCUGCUGAAAUCCCCCGGCUCAACCGGGGAAGUGGCACCGAUACGAGCGGCCUCGAGGGGGGUAGGGGGGACUGGAACUUCCGGUGGAGCGGUGAAAUGCGUUGAGAUCGGAAGGAACGCCCGUGGCGAAAGCGAGUCCCUGGACCCUUUCUGACGCUGAGACGCGAAAGCCAGGGGAGCGAACGGGAUUAGAUACCCCCGUAGUCCCUGUCUCUUAUA